UACGGAGGGUGCAAGCGUUAUCCGGAUUCACUGGGUUUAAAGGGGGCGUAGGCGGGUAAGUAAGUCCGGGGUGAAAUCUCUGAGCUUAACUCAGAAACUGCCGUGGAUACUAUUUGCCUUGAAUAUUGUGGAGGUGAGCGGAAUAUGUCAUGUAGCGGUGAAAUGCUUAGAUAUGACAUAGAACACCAAUUGCGAAGGCAGCUCACUACACAAUCAUUGACGCUGAGGCACGAAAGCGUGGGGAUCAAACAGG
rnacentral:rRNA from 1 species